AGCGUGGAUCGGAAGGGAGAGGAAGGGGAGGAUUCUUCGCGUGGGGACGUAAAUAAUGUGGGCGGAGGGAAGGAGGAGAAGAAAGUUAGAAAAGUGCAAGUAGAGAAGUUUAGUUUGGGCUCUUAAGGGAAACGUGUACAGGUCCGUCGUGCGCGCAAAUUACAGACUAUAUUUUUAACUCUUUAAAAAUAAUAAUAUUUUGAACUUGUAUAUAUAUAUACAUACAUUACAUAUAUAUAUAUAUUAUAUUCAUACGAUAUUGAUAACGAUGAUAUUCUCUUGUUCAGGUUUUAUAAGAAUGGGGAACGAGUGAGAGAGGUGAAUAUAAAUAGUUCGACGUAGAUAGUGAAUGAACGACGAACGCAGGGCAGGGCAGGGCAGGGCAAGGCAGGGCAGGUGGAGGAGGGCGCUCACACACCUCUCCGCGUUUUCUUUUCGUCUCGUCCGCGAGAUCACGCGGCUCAUUUAGCGAAUGUGCAAUAUUACACGAGUAAGGGGAUAAGGGGAAAUUUGAGGGGACGCGUCUUAACGGGAU